UGAGUAUCCUCCCAUUUGACCAGUUCC
rnacentral:piRNA from 1 species